rnacentral:rRNA from 1 species
GACGAACGCUGGCGGCGUGCUUAACACAUGCAAGUCGAACGGAAAGGCCCUGCUUUUGUGGGGUGCUCGAGUGGCGAACGGGUGAGUAACACGUGAGUAACCUGCCCUUGACUUUGGGAUAACUUCAGGAAACUGGGGCUAAUACCGGAUAGGAGCUCCUGCUGCAUUGUGGGGGUUGGAAAGUUUCGGCGGUUGGGGAUGGACUCGCGGCUUAUCAGCUUGUUGGUGGGGGAGUGGCUUACCAAGGCUUUGACGGGUAGCCGGCCUGAGAGGGUGACCGGCGACAUUGGUACUGAGAGACGGCCCAGACUGGUACGGGAGGCAGCAGUGGGGAAUAUGGCACAAUGGGCGGAAGCCUGAUGCAGCAACGCUGCGUGCGGGAUGACGGCCUUCGGGUUGUAAACCGCUGUCGUCUGUGACGAAGCGUGAGUGACGGUAAUGGGUAAAGAAGCACCGGCUAACUACGUG